rnacentral:miRNA from 1 species
UGGGUGGGGAUGGAGAGG